CCCUGCUUAGACUAUGGUUUAGGUCGUUGGGCUCAUCACCCGAAGGACUGGGGUACACACCCAGGGCAGGGU
rnacentral:tRNA from 1 species